UAUCGCGAGGAAAGCUGCGAGAAACUAUGCGUACCUGUUGCGCGAUUCCAAAUAAGAUGAGGAUAAAAUAAAACAGGACCGCCCAGAACGGCGACACCUGUUCAGUGCCCAGCAACGCCAGUGUCGCGGGCACCAGUUCAGUGGCCAGUCGCAACACCUGGUAUCCGGACUCGAUGCUCGUGUCCGCGCCGGGUCGUAUUACGCGUUGACCAAGGAGAAAGGACGCGUGGGACAUGAACCUCUCCGGGGUGCUGCUGUAGCCCGACGGUGCCGGUUUAUUGGCGAGCCUCAAGAACGUGUAUCCUGAUAUUCUCUCUGUGAAAUUGUCCCGAAAAAUAUAACGCGUUGAGUUAUCCAGUUAAGAAAUGGGAUAUCAAGUAUUUAAAAAUCAGAGUCGAAUUGAAUAAUCAAUAAGCCAAUAAGCUUCAAAUACCAACUCAUAAAAAGAAUUAAUAAGAGUUAGACGCAAAUUUUUAAAUUCCUUUUUAAUUACUUUAAACAUUUCAAUCUGCUGAAGAUGAUCCUUUACGGGUUCUAAUUUACUUAAAAAUACUGUUCUUUUUUUCUAAAUAAUCAUAGAAAGUUCGAAACCAUUGCGAAUAACCUACUAAGGAUACUUAAUAUCAUUACUGGAGAUAUAUACAAAACGGCUGUACUUACCAAAGGAACUAGUGGUGUAGAUGUAACCUUGAUGCCUGAGAAUGUGUACGCAGGUAUUCGCUAAUAGAGCCCCGAGUAGAAGCACCAAAAAUGUCAGAAUCACUACGAGAGUCGUGUCUCGCUGUAGGAAAUUCUUGUGCUUGUUGUGAGCCGCUAUCUGAAAUUGGCAGAUAAAGAAUAAAGAACCCAAUUGCGCAAAAAAAAAAAAUUAUAAAAUUGAAUGGAGGAAGUAAUGCCACGCAAAAACAAAAAAGGAAAUAAUAAUCGUACCUGCAUAGCGGCCGCGCCGAGUAAACCCCACGUGAGGAAGACCUCGUUUGAGGCGGCUACCCAUGACUUUCCGUUGAUGAAGAAUUCGCUCCAGACAGUAGCCGGGAAAAGCUGGCUUAUCAAACCCGCCGGAGUAAGUCCCAGCAACUUUGUACAAAGGACCAACGUACCGAACACGGGCACCAACGUAAAGACGUAUACGACCUUUCCAUAAGAUCUCAGUCCUAAGUUAAGGGAUGGGAAAUCAAGUAUUUAAAAAUCAGAGUCGAAUCCAAUAAUCAAUAAGCUUCAAAUACCAACUCAUAAAAAAGAUUAAUAAGAGUCAAACGCAAAUUAUUUUUAAAUUCAACGUUUCAGUUCUACAAGCUGGCUGAGAUUUCUUUCUUAGUCAACCUGCUGAAGAUCCUUUACGGGUUCUAGUUUACUUGAAAAUAUUGCGGUCAAGAUUUUUUUAAUAUUCACCUUUACUCAGGGAAACAAAUACAAUCAUCCACACGACGGCUAAGUUGAAGGCCACUUGAAACUUUAACGUGACGACGCCAGGUUCGGAAUCGUUCAAGUGGUGUCUCUGCAGCACGGCCCCACUGAAGUAAUCCGGAACAGUUUCGUGCAAUUUGUACGAAGUAGUAGUGUUGUGCGUAGGACGGCUGUCGUCCCGAUAGAGAAGAAACGGCUCCGCCCAUCGAUACCUGUCCUGCUUCGUUAUGAACGAAUCUCUGCAAUCAAUACACCGAGUGUUUCGUUCUACUUGAUCAACAUGUCGUGGCAUUAAUAAAUAUCCGAUACGCGUAUCAUUAGGGUACGAAAAUGGAGGCUUCAGAAAAAGAGGUGAGCAUCGAAAUAGUACCUGAAAUAAACGAACAUCCAUGAUACACCGACUAUACUGUAGAUGCCGAUGAAGGCCUGUGCGGUGAGCAGAGCUAUUCCGACACCUUGAAAAAGUGGCGAAAUUCUCCACAUAUCCACGGAACCAGCCGCCAGUCUUUGCCCAAGACAUACUUGUAAUGUCAGCAGCGGGAUACCCAGUAUAAAUGAUAAAAUCAGGAACUGUACAAUGAAGUUUGCUGUAAGAAAAAUGUAAAAAAUCUCAUUUUAUGCAAUAAAAUAAUUUACAUAUA